ACGAACGCUGGCGGCGUGCUUAACCCAUGCAAGUCGCACGGAAAGGCCCUGCUUUUGUGGGGUGCUCGAGUGGCGAACGGGUGAGUAACACGUGAGUAACCUGCCCUUGACUUUGGGAUAACUUCAGGAAACUGGGGCUAAUACCGGAUAGGAGCUCCUGCUGCAUGGUGGGGGUUGGAAAGUUUCGGCGGUUGGGGAUGGACUCGCGGCUUAUCAGCUUGUUGGUGGGGUAGUGGCUUACCAAGGCUUUGACGGGUAGCCGGCCUGAGAGGGUGACCGGCCACAUUGGGACUGAGAUACGGCCCAGACUCCUACGGGAGGCAGCAGCGGGGAAUAUUGCACAAUGGGCGGAAGCCUGAUGCAGCAACGCCGCGUGCGAGAUGACGGCCUUCGGGUUGUAAACCGCUUUCGCCUGUGACGAAGCGUGAGUGACGGUAAUGGGUAAAGAAGCACCGGCUAACUACGUG
rnacentral:rRNA from 1 species